GGUGCUGUGGGUGCUGUGGUGGUGAGUUUUUUUUUCAAACGCCAUUUUUUUUUCAGUCGUUUUCUUUCCCGUUUUUUUCUGCCUGCGUUUUUCAAUCUCGUUUCUUUUGAGCGUUGGAUGUAGUUAGAGUUGCAUUACUACGUUGAAUUAAUUAAUUAUUAUUGAAUUAUUUGUUCUGUUUUGUGUUAUGGCAUCGACAUCGACUUAAUGAAUGUUAACGUGUUCAACAAUAUGAUCAAAAGUGUCGUUUUGGGUUUUGCAUUAUUUCAAACUUCGAAAGAGACGUCAGACGUGAUCAAUAUUUAAUUCAAUUCCAACGAUUAUCUUGUCGAAUGUUGCAGCUUGCCAGUGAUGAUGAGUCAUACCCACCUGCCCGAUACUUUCAUACGAUAUUUUGUGUGAUGUUGGAUUUGAUUUACCUUAUGUUAAUGGAACGUUUACCUACAUUUUGAAUGAAUAUCUACUUUGAUGAAUUCUAAGAUAUGAUCGGAGGUGCUGUUUAGCAUAUUUCAAGGAGAUGUGAUAAGUCUGGUGUUCAUCCAAUUGCACAGAAUUGGCAAGCAGAAAAAUGGAAUCGAAAUAGGUACAUACCUAUACGCACGAUAACUUGAGAUGAAACAAAUUUGAUAACCAACCGAGCACCAACCAAUGUUUAAAAAAUUUGCAUAUUAUACCUACUUGAAAGAACAAAAAUAACUUCUGCAACGCCAUUGUAAACCUAAAAAUAGAAAACAUAUCUAAGUUAAGUAUCUAUGUAUGUAUUAUGGAGGAAGAACGCUACACGUUGUCCGGGGAGUGGUGGUACAAACAUCAGAUAUUUGGAUAUAACCGGCCGGUAUGAGUAAAAAAACCGUAAGAUAAACAAGUUGCCUAUCUUGAAAAUUGAAGGGGCAAAAUACUUUUUCAAAAUCAAAGAGCGAAAAUCCAAUUUUGAACAUGGGUGUCGAUAGUACUUUGAAAAAUGAUCAAAAUUGUCUUUCAUGACUUUUAGCUAAUUUCAAAAAAUCGCGAUGAAAAAAAUGAAUAGUUACUUACUGCGUCAAAAAAUGAACAACGUUUUGUUAUGAUCAUUUUUUUUCCUACUCUUAAAUUUAAAAAGUUUUUGGAAUUCAAAAGUUUUUUUUCGUUAAAAAUGUUAUUAAAUUAUCAAUUUUUAAGUUCCAAAAACUUUUUAAAUUUUAGGUCAAGAAAAAAAAUGAUCGUCCUACUAAACGAGUGAUUCGUGAAAAUUGAAAAAAAUCAGUUGAGAGAGGAAUGAGGAGGUAAAAGAUUCGAAAAAUCGACAGCAAAAAUUUUAUGGAGGGUAUAAUAUGACUGAAUUUUUUUUUCAAAUAUCGUCAUACCCUCAGAUAUAUCGAGGAUAUUUUGCUGUUGAAACCGUGACGGAAGGAUGAAGGUUGUACAUGUACUUGUCUUCUUUUCUAGUUUAAUUGUUUGUUUAGAUACUCGAAUGAUGUAUAUUUUUACCGUUCGAUACCUUUCUGUAAAUAUUGCACUUGGUUUUGCAUUUGUCUCCCAUAACCAACUUGAAUACCCAGGUAUUAUUUUUCUAGUUUACUGAGGGUGAUCACCUCUUAGUAUUUUGAUGUAUUAUGUUAAAAUGUUUGCGAUCUUAUUUUUUUUUAUUUUUUCAUUUUUUUUAGUAAAUGUGUCGUGUUUUUACCCAUUGGUACGUAGGUGUAGGUACCUACUGUCACUUUGUUACGUUUUAAAUUUUUCUCGCCGAGAAUUUCGCUAAUUUUUGUCUUUUAUUUCAUUUGCCUGUCUACUAUAUUUUUGAAAUUCUGUCAGGUAUGUUUCUCCAAUGAUGUUUUUCAUUUUGUUACUUAUGUGCUGUUGUAUUGAUGCUCGAUUCAAUUUUGUAUUUUUUUUUUUUUAUUUUUCAAAGAUUUUGCUCAUGUAUCUAAGUAUAAGAUUUUCGAGCUUAGCUAGAUGGCGAAUAUUAUCGUCUGUAUACGUAUGCACUUAUCCAAUAUGCACUUUUGGAAAGCACCCCCUCGAUGUUCAUGUAUAUGUGAGGGCGCAUACGGAAAGGGUCCUUAUGACCAAAAAAAAAAAAAAAAAAAAAGUUC